rnacentral:rRNA from 1 species
GACGAACGCUGGCGGCGUGCCUAAUACAUGCAAGUUGAGCGAUGAAGGUUGGUGCUUGCACCAAUUUGAAGAGCAGCGAACGGGUGAGUAACGCGUGGGGAAUCUGCCUUUGAGCGGGGGACAACAUUUGGAAACGAAUGCUAAUACCGCAUAACAACUUUAAACAUAAGUUUUAAGUUUGAAAGAUGCAAUUGCAUCACUCAAAGAUGAUCCCGCGUUGUAUUAGCUAGUUGGUGAGGUAAAGGCUCACCAAGGCGAUGAUACAUAGCCGACCUGAGAGGGUGAUCGGCCACAUUGGGACUGAGACACGGCCCAAACUCCUACGGGAGGCAGCAGUAGGGAAUCUUCGGCAAUGGACGAAAGUCUGACCGAGCAACGCCGCGUGAGUGAAGAAGGGUUUCGGAUCGUAAAACUCUGUUGGUAGAGAAGAACGUUGGUGAGAGUGGAAAGCUCAUCAAGUGACGGUAACUACCCAGAAAGGGACGGCUAACUACGUG